rnacentral:rRNA from 1 species
GGCUCAGGAUGAACGCUAGCGACAGGCCUAACACAUGCAAGUCGAGGGGCAGCACAAGGAGCAAUCUGAGGUGGCGACCGGCGCACGGGUGAGUAACACGUAUGCAACCUGCCUGUAAGCGGGGAAUAACCCGUUGAAAGACGGACUAAUACCGCAUAAUACUAAAUUACUGCAUGGUAAUUUAUUUAAACAUUUAUGGCUUACAGAUGGGCAUGCGCAUGAUUAGCUAGUUGGAGAGGUAACGGCUCCCCAAGGCAACGAUCAUUAGGGGUUCUGAGAGGAAGGUCCCCCACACUGGUACUGAGACACGGACCAGACUCCUACGGGAGGCAGCAGUGAGGAAUAUUGGUCAAUGGACGAGAGUCUGAACCAGCCAAGUCGCGUGCAGGAAGAAUUGUCCUAUGGAUUGUAAACUGCUUUUGCAGGGGAAUAAAGUGCAUCACGUGUGAUGUUUUGUAUGUACUCUGCGAAUAAGGAUCGGCUAACUCCGUGCCAGCCGCGGC